rnacentral:rRNA from 1 species
ACACAGGUGGUCGGGUAGAGAAUACCAAGGCGCUUGAGAGAACUCGGGUGAAGGAACUAGGCAAAAUGGUACCGUAACUUCGGGAGAAGGUACGCUCUUGAUGGUGAAGUCCCUCGCGGAUGGAGCUAUUGAGAGUCGCAGAUACCAGGUGGCUGCAACUGUUUAUUAAAAACACAGCACUGUGCAAAAUCGUAAGAUGACGUAUACGGUGUGACGCAUGACCGG